CAAUCAGCGCAACGCUAGGCUUCGCGCUCGCAGGCAGCGUGUGGCAGUGGCUAGCAGAACAGAAAAGAGGCAAGACGUCCCACGAUAUCGUGUUAUUUACUGGUCAUUAGAGCAAGAAGAAAUCGGAGAAAUCAAGAAGAAUGCCAAGGAUGCGCCAAAGUAGAAGCUGUUCACCGACGGAGCGAAGAAGCCCAACCAGGCACAACCAGUGUGCUGAAUGCAAGAGGGGAUUCUCAACCCAAACCAAUCUGAGACGCCACAUUGACGAACAGCAUCGUCGCCGUGAAAGAAUCAAAUGUCCCUACUGCCCCCAGUCCUUUGUCCGACAGCGCGACCUGGACCGACACUGGCAGUCUGCACACCAAGAAAACCAGGGCUCGAUAAGCCAGUCAGUAGAUGCCAGAGACACAGAGCCUGAAGUCCCCAGAACCCCAGGACGAAACCAUGAAGAUGACGUGGUGAGUCUGACGCCUGGGAGUGUGGAACGGAGUCUUGUAAAAGACUUACACUCUCCUCCCCCGACAGAGAGCGAGGCAGCCGUGAUGCCUCCAAUAGCCCCUUCCACUCCCUCAUAGGCCUAACGAAGGACGUGGGCACCCAGAGCGACCCGAUAAAGGGCUCCCGUGUGGUGGAAAGCACCAUAAAAGAGGUCCUGGAGAGCGACGGGAAGAUUUCACUUCGGCUUAUCCAGGAGCGUUUCCUGAUGGAUCCAUAAAUGUAGGGCCUAGACUACGAGAUUUGCGCAUAACAUUUUGUUGGCUCACUUUUUAAUUAAAGUCAAAGAGAAGUUAGUUAAGUUUACCUUAACUGUUAAAGUUGUCAGAGAUGUUUCGUUUUUUGUUUUUCUUAAGAGAACUCUUGAGUUUUGAAAUCUUAAACCGUUGUUAAACAUGGUUAGAUGUUGAAAAGUGUUUUGACGAAUAAUUAUAAUUGAUGUUAAAUGAUGUUGCUUGAGCUAAUGUGAUAUCUGUUUAUGCUGAGCACGAGUCCCUUAUUGUUCUUACGGAUUGUAUUUGAAACUUGCUGAUGUGGGGACACAUCUCCCCUUAAAGGAGGGGGUAGAGAAGCGAGCGAGGCGAAGCGCAUGCAGGGCGCGUGAUCAGUGCGUGAUCGCCGCCUGAGAGGAUGCCGGCCAAUCAGCGCACCGCUAGGCUUCGCGCUCGCAGGCAGCGUGUGGCAGUGGCUGGCAGAACAGAAAAGAGGCAAGACGUCCCACGAUAUUGUGUUAUUAACUGGUCAUUAGAGCAAGAAGAAAUCGGAGAAAUCAAGAAGAAUGUUAACUGUGACUCUCAAACCAGCCUACUUAACUGCAAAUUAUCCCAGACCAACCCCGUGCGUGAAUCUUAAAAAACCACAGGACACGGGACACAGGACACGGGUGACAGUUUCACUGGUCACGGUCUACCAGAGUUUUUCCAGUUUACAUGGGCUGCGCAGUUAGGCCUACCAUAGUUACCACAGGUCACUUCGU